AAAAGUAAGAAAAGAUGAAGGAAAAGAAAAGAUGAAGGAAAACCAACCCAAAUCUGGUGAGCAGUUGUCUGUUGUUUUAGACAAUCAGCUUUCCAGUCAAGAGCCAGAAACUCGAAAACAUGCAUCGGAGAAGAACGAUCAGGUUAAUAAGCAUUUUUUUGCAGUAAUUUUGUAAAUAUUUGUUAAGUAUUGAUUCUCUUUUGCAUAGCAUUAUAGAUGCAAGAAACAUAAAGACGAGAGUAUGGUGACUUGUACACAGAAAGCAGUAAACUACUAAAUAACAACAAAUCUGACAAGGAAAAACGAAAAUUAUUUUCCACAAUUGAGAGGGAAAAAAAAUGCUAUAAUGAAAUUAAUACACUUCGAGAAGGAAUUUUUGAUUACCUGCUUAAGGUUACUUAUGAAUAAAUUGACAAUUCAGGCCAUGAGACAUGACAGACAUCAGCCAAGGCCAUCAGGAUCAAUGAACUUCACUGGACGGACCAAAUCCUGGCGCCCA
rnacentral:lncRNA from 1 species